GCACCGCUAGUCUAAUGGUUAGGACAUCUGCCUUCCAAGCAGAUGGUCCGGGUUCGAUUCCCGGGCGGUGCA
rfam:Perkinsus marinus ATCC 50983 gcontig_1104296793778, whole genome shotgun sequence.